rnacentral:snRNA from 1 species
GGAUGUGAGGGCGAUCUGGCUGCGACAUCUGUCACCCCAUUGAUCGCCAGGGUUGAUUCGGCUGAUCUGGCUGACUAGGCGGGUGUCCCCUUCCCUCACCGCUCCAUGUGUGUCCCUCCCGAAGCUGCAUGCUCGGUCGAAGAGGACGGCCUUCCCCGAAUAGAGACGGACUGGUCUUCGGUCGAGGGUAUAUGAGUAGCUGUUCUCCCCUGCUAGAACCUCCAAACAAGCUCUCAAGAAUAUGGGGUUGCUGGGAGAUAGCUCACAUGGUAGAUCACACACUAUAUG